rnacentral:rRNA from 1 species
GGUAUGGGAUGAGCUUGCGUCCGAUUAGCUAGUUGGCGGGGCAACGGCCCACCAAGGCGACGAUCGGUAGCCGGCCUGAGAGGGUGAUCGGCCACAUUGGGACUGAGAUACGGCCCAGACUCCUACGGGAGGCAGCAGUAGGGAAUAUUGCACAAUGGGGGAAACCCUGAUGCAGCAACGCCACGUGUGGGAAGAAGCAUUUCGGUGUGUAAACCACUGUCGUGAGGGAAUAAUACGCGUCUUCGGGCGCGGGAGAAUGUACCUUGAAAGGAAGCACCGGCGAACUUCGUGCCAGCAGCCGCGGUAAUACGAGGGGUGCAAGCGUUGUUCGGAAUCACUGGGCGUAAAGGGAGCGUAGGCGGAUGUUCAAGCGGAUUGUACAAUACCGGGGCCCAACCCCGGACCUGCAGUUCGAACUGGACAUCUUGGAUAGUUCAGGGGCAGGC